ACUUCUGAAGGAUAAAAGUAAUCCAUUGACCUUAGACGUCAAACAUCUUGGUGCAACUCCAUGCAGAAGUU
rnacentral:tRNA from 1 species